CGAGGGGCAGGAGACUUCAUCUUCAGAAGGAGAGAUGCGCUGAGGCUGACGAGGGGAUGGAGAGAUGCUCUGAGGCCGACAAUGGGAAGGAGCGAUGCCCUGAGACUGACGAGGGGAAGGAGAUUUAAUCUUCAGAAGGAGAGAUGCCCUGAGGCUGACGAUGGGAAGGAGAGAUGCCCUGAGGCUGCCGAGGGGAAGGAGAGAUGUCCUGAGGCUGACAAGGGGAAGGAGAGAUGCCCUGAGGCUGACGAGGGGCUGGAGACUUCAUCUUCAGAAGGAGAGAUGCGCUGAGGCUGACGAGGGGAAGUAGAGAUAACCUGAGGCUGAUGAGGGGAAGGAGAGGUGUCCCGAGCCUGACAAGGGAUAGGAGAGAUGCCCUGAGACUGACGAGGGGAAGGAGACUUCAUCUUCAGAAUGAGAGAUGCCCUGAAGCUGACGAGGGGAAGGAGAGAUGCCCUGAGGCUGACGAGGGGAAGGAUACUUCAUCUUCAGAAGGAGAGAUGCCCUGAGGCCGACGAGGGGAAGGAGACUUCAUCUUCAGAAGGCGAGAUGCCCUGAGGCUGACGAGGGGAAGGAGACUUCAUCUUCAGAAGGAGAGAUGUCCUGACGAGGGUAGGAGAGAUGUCCUGAGGCUGACGAGGGGAAGGAGAGAUGCCCUGAGGCUGACGAGGGGAAAGAGACUUCAUUUUCAGAAGGAGAGAUGCCCUGAGGCCGACGAGGGGAAGGAGACAUCAUCUUCAGAAGGCGAG
rnacentral:lncRNA from 1 species